CUACGUAAAAAAACGCCUCUCCUCUGGAUCCACCCCCUCCCGCUGCGACCUCUCUCUUUCCCCCAUCUCCCGCUCCACCGCCGCCGCCCCAUCUCCCGCUUCACCGCCGCCCUCCCUGGCGGCACAGGGGAAACCCUAGACCACGCGCGCCGCCACCCUAUCUCCCUGCCCUUCGUCUCGCCGUCGCCGGAGGAGCGGCCGACGAAGCCCGCGUCGCCUCCAAGGAAGGCGACGAUGGGGCCCUUCUUCCGUUUCCGUAGGCCAUGGCUGCCUGAGCGGCCCGGAGGAUGGACUGCGCGGUGAUGGCGCGUAGAGGUGUGGCGUAUCCCGUGCAGGCGAGCUCGUCGCAGCGUGCAGGAGGGCGUGGCACCAUGGCAGUGUGGUGGAGGGCGUCGUGGAGCAGGGCAUCGAUCUGGAGGGCGUGGGCGGGAGCGCCCGUGCUCCGGGCCGCAAGGAGGCUCGCGGGUGCAUCGCCUGCGUGCGGCGCAGGGCGCCAGAGUUGAUGCGGCCUCAGCCACUGGUCUAGCGGCGCCCUGCUGCUUGAGUGGGCAGGCGGGCCGGCCAGAUCUGGCCUGGCUGUGGAGGUGGGCGUCCCUGCUGAUGGCGCUGCUGGCCUCCAGAGGGCGGGCGUUCUUGGGCAGCUGGUGCGGGGCGUGCGGCUGCACGUGAGGGCUGGCGCGGAUCUGGGCAUGGCAGCGCGAAGUGGCCGUUUCUCCGCCACUGGUCGGUGGUUGGAGGGGCUGUAGGUGCGCUGGUCUUACACGGUGAUGCUUGGCGAGGUGGGCUACUCGGGUCCACUGGUUGGAUGGUUGAGGUUGCCGGCGAAAGCUGAACUCCGGCAGUGGCCGGAGUUGUCGAUGGCCGCGCCGGCAGGCCGUUUCCUUGCUGAAGCUUGCUUGCUUUGUAUUGCGCAGCAGCCAGACAUGCCCAUCCGGCUGGAAAGGAAUCGGCAAGCUGCAGACCGAUGAAGCUAAGUAGUUUUGUUAUCUUUGUUUGCACAGCCAGAUAGCACGCCUUCUUGCUGAUUACUUCUUCCCGUACACUCACGUGAAACAACAUAGAUUCACUAAUUGAUUUUGGCCAGAUGCGCUAAUACAGAAAGUUAGCUUGAUUAGUUAAUCUUCAGCUAGAUGAGCGCACACAUGUAACGCACAGAACGCGCAAACACGGGAAAAUCUAUUGGAUGGCAAUAGGUGUGUGACGCACCUAUGUUUUUAUUGUUUUGAUCUGGUGAAGUUCAAAGGGGUUCUUAUUUUCAUAAGGCCAAAUGAUGUUCAUCAGUGCGUUGGAUACCUUUCCUCUUUUUUGCUAUGUAUGUUUUCAUGAUAUUUCUCUUGUCCUUUACAUAAAAUAUCUUUCUAUUACCCCUCGGAUGACUCCCAAAUGUUGUAGUUCAUCUGUCAAAAAAGGUGCUUUGCCUGAUAAUAAUUUUUUUGUUAUAUUUGUUAAAUAGUACACUGCAACAUUGAUUGUGCUAGGCGUGAUGGAAGCGUGAUGCUCGCAGACACUUGUCAAGAUGCGGAAGGAUGGGAACACAGUGGUGGGGAACUUGGGUAUAUGAAUGAUAGACAUGAUCAGAAUAUGCAUGCCACAUUAGGUUGACAUGGAGUGGAGAGGAGCCAAGGUAGGGGUGGUGAAGAGAGUCAUUGGAAGAACAAAGAAUAAGGUAUUUAGCGGGAAAUAAGGCAAAAAAUCAGUUGGACACAUAACGUUUAGCAAAAAUGAGCUCACCAUUUUUGAGUGUUUACUACAUCCUGGUCAUCUACAAGUACUACAAGACAUCAUAUGUAACUACAACCUUCCUCUUCAACAUGUCGUUUAUUUUGCGGGUGUCAUGUCUCUUAUUUUUGCGGGUAGCAGUUAUGUUGAAGACAAUUCUUUAUUUCUUUUGUAAGGUGAAAUACAAGCAUGUUAAUUAUUGUAUGAUGUAGAUUUAUAUAGAGAGAGUGGUUACUACCUUUUUUCCAUUCUAUCCAAAAAACGGAUUGGGUUCUACCAUCAAAAGCGAUAACGGAUAAAAACAAGAAAAAUCAACCAGGAGAGAGGGAGGAGUUGGCCGGCAUGGGGUCAUGAGUGGUACAAACAGGAAGAUGCACGCCCAUGGUUUUGUAGGUUCAGUUUACUGUGGAUUUUCAGUUCUUUUCAUCUCAUAAUUAUCUUUAUUUAUGUGUUAAGCUUUUAUUUUUCUUUUGGUCCUUCCCACUUGAGGCCUCUUGUGCACCUUGAUUUAGUUCUGUUCUUUAUUCGGUGCCAGUGUCUUAGGACAAUACUUUCAUGCAUGGAUUAUUUCCAGCAUUCAAAUUUGGAUACCUUUGUUCCACUAGGUUCGUUGCAUUCACCUUAUUGAAGAUAAUAAACACUUAUUGAGGAACAUGCUAAGGAUGGAGGAACGGACCUCAAGUUCCAGCUGCAUAUUAUUCAGCUUGAUUCAUUGCUCAGGAUUUUUGAAGAUAUGGCUUCUAAUUCCAUCAACCAAGAACUUAAUUCAGAAUCUAAAAUUUAAAGGUGAGGUAGAGGAAUAUUGCCUGUCCUGUCCAGAAACAAUGCUCGUUUUUUUAUUCCAGUCGAUGUAUUUCUUGUGUCUGAUGGAUUGAGUUUUGAGUUGGAACAUAAGUAUAUUAGUGUCAUAGAAUUUGCACAUAUGCUUUAUCCACUUGUGAUUACUAUUUACACAGCAUAUAUUUAUAUUUGGAUUACAGAUUCUCUGUACUUGUUGUUGUACUUUGUGUUUUCUACUGAUUGUGGUGCCUCUUGAAGCAGGGAAAGCUAGGAGUCAUUGAUGACAGGUACGGAAGUUGGUGGACACCUACAAGGAUGUGGAGGUGAGCAUCAUGGUGAUGCGGCACAACCUCGGGGCGGCGCUGGCCACCCUGAACACGUUCGAAAUCUUUGAGAAUGGCCAGUCAUGGCGUUUGCGUUUGUUAGGCCGCGCGUGGGCGGUGCCAGCUUUAAGAAGCGGUUCCGCGUCUACCACGCCCUCCGUGUCCGCAUCGCCCGGGACAUCAUGUCCAGGUACUCGAAGCUGUUGUACCACACCAUGGGGUCCGAGUUGGCCAUCGACAUCGGCACGUCGCCAUACCUGAGGGCGUCGCUGUCCGGUUUAUUUUUGCUGUUCGGAUCCCGCAAGGUGAGUUGAAUCAAUCUUGUACGCCUUAGGCGAUGCCCCAGCUUUUUUGAUAUCCGUCGACAUGAUUCCUCACAUAUAAACCAUGCAGCAGCCAUGGACAACCUUCAUCUAAAGAAGCUAUUGUUUGCUCCGGUGGAUUUGAUUUUGUCUUUCCUCUUUUCUAUGGUUGUGAGCAAUGAAAUCCAAUUUGCAUCUCCCUACAUGAUCAAGGCUACGGUGUGAAUUAUGACCAUCCGUCGGAUGAGGACACGAUUGUGGCAGGGAUGUUGGUGGCAUGAAGUUGUAUAGUAGCAGGAUGGUCUAAACUCAGCCACUAGAGAUUUGAGCUACUUUUUGGUCAUUUUCUACUCAAUUCUAGAGUUCUAUUGCAUUAUCAUAAUUUUUCAUAUCUCAGUAAAGUGGAUGUUUUUUAGGUUAAUAGUAAAGUGCAUGUCAGUACCUCCAAAAGGAUUUUUUUUCAUGAAAAUUGUUUUUUCCUGAUGGUAAUCAUUUUCAUACAAACUGCUAUAGUUGCUUGCCCUUUUGGCAGCAUUUGCUCAGAAGCUUGACUGCCGAGACUAGACUAGACUAGCUUGAUUUUCUUGAUACAUCUAAAUAUUCCAAUGUGAUAUGUUAAAAAUACAGGGAGGAUAUUUGUUUGGCUUAUGAGGAGAUUUUGGUUAACCAACGUUGACGCUUUCACUCGCUCACCAUGUUCAUUUGGUCUGGAUUAC